rnacentral:rRNA from 1 species
CCCUUAGAUGUUCUGGGCCGCACGCGCGCUACACUGAUGCAUUCAACGAGUUUCUUCCUGGUCCGAGAGGAAUGGGUAACCUUUUGAAAGUGCAUCGUGAUAGGGAUAGACUAUUGCAAUUAUUGGUCUUCAACGAGGAAUUCCUAGUAGACGUAGUUCAUAGACUGCAUCGAUUACGUCCCUGCCCUUUGUACACACCGCCCGUCGCUCCUACCGAUUGAAUGCUCAGGUGAGCCAUUCGGACUUUCAUCAUGCUGGUUUCCAGUUUUGAUGAAGGAAAGUCUUGCGAACCUUAUCAUUUAGAGGAAGGAGAAGUCGUAACA